GUGAGGAAGGUCAAGUGAUCAGCACAUGUCCCUAUCCCAAAAUACAGUGAGGAAGGUCAAGUGAUCAGCACAUGUCCCUAUCCCAAAAUACAGUGAGGAAGGUCAAGUGAUCAGCAAUGUUUAGGUUUAAAAUAGAAUUGAUCAGAAAGAGAAAACAAAUGUUUAACAGGAAAGUCCAUUGGCAGUACAGACCAGAAUGCAGGUCAAAGCCUGUACAUACUGGACUGUUGAUUAGUAUUAGAACCAAAGGAAUGUCAGGUCAGAGCUUUCAUUUUGACUGGAGAAAUAGCCAUCAGGAAA